GGCUAAGAUUUAGGCCUAUAAACAGGCCUAUGGGCGAACAAAAAUCGAGAACAGUCGAGAGGAGCUCAGGCAACAGUCGAGAGGAGUUCAACGAGUGUCGAGCGUAAGCAACCAAUAGAGUAGACACAGGCAGAGCCAGCAGAGCACUGUAGAGGCAUGAUGUAGCAGUUUGCUCCACAAGAAGCAUCCGGGGAUGUCGAGAACCUUGGUAUUGGUAGACCCAUGAGGGGGUCUCC
rnacentral:lncRNA from 1 species